AUCCAGAAGUCGUAAAAGUCAGACUAGAUUCUGUUAUCAGUGAAGGCUGGCUGGACCUGCCAUUCUCCACUUUUCCACCCAGACAUGAAAGGCAGAAGUCAAGGAUCACACACACUAGAGGGAAUCUCAGCAACUAGACAAUUUUUUGACUUCUCAAUCAUGACUAAAUUUUUCAUCAUUUUCUUUCAAAAACUUUUAAAACAAAUUAGAGAAUUGGUGCA
rnacentral:lncRNA from 1 species